rnacentral:rRNA from 1 species
GACGAACGCUGGCGGCGUGCUUAACACAUGCAAGUCGAACGGAAAGGCCCUGCUUUUGUGGGGUGCUCGAGUGGCGAACGGGUGAGUAACACGUGAGUAACCUGCCCUUGACUUUGGGAUAACUUCAGGAAACUGGGGCUAAUACCGGAUAGGAGCUCCUGCUGCAUGGUGGGGGUUGGAAAGUUUCGGCGGUUGGGGAUGGACUCGCGGCUUAUCAGCUUGUUGGUGGGGUAGUGGCUUACCAAGGCUUUGACGGGUAGCCGGCCUGAGAGGGUGACCGGCCACAUUGGGACUGAGAUACGGCCCCGACUCCUACGGGAGGCAGAAGUGGGGAAUAUUGCACCAUGGGCGGAAGCCUGAUGCAGCAACGCCGCGUGUGGGAUGACGGCCUUCGGGUUGUAAACCGCUUUCGCCUGUGACGAAGCGUGAGUGACGGUAAUGGGUAAAGGAGCACCGGCUAACUACGUG